UAACAAACGCCGCCUGUGUCAUUCUUCUUCUUUGACGUUCAUUUCAUGUCCCUUUGGAGGAGUGUUCAUCUGUGUUGGGAAUGUGCGAAUUUGACCCCUACUGAACCUUUUUUUUCUUAAGUGUCAUGCACGCACUACUUGCUGCUGGGAAGUAAGAGUGUUGGAAAGAUUCAAAUGAGGACUUCUAAAAUAUAUUUUCUGUAAUCAAGCUGAUUUACAAUUAAAGUAGAUUUUUAGCUAGAGAUUCAGAUAGAGUUGUUUAUAAGUUAUUGUUAUCCAAAGAAUGGAAGUAAGUUUACGAGAUAUUAGAGUUUUAAUUUUUAUAUUUUUUAAUAUAUUUUAUUUUAAAGUAAUAUCUUUUACCAUUUGUUUUUAUUUAUUUUCAGAUUAAUAUUUGUCUGAUAUUUGUUAUUGUAUAACUCACGGUCUAUUAAUAAUAGAGAACAAUUGUUAUGGGAAACGUGUUAAUACAUAUGGAGAGUUGGUCUAGUAUCUGGGUUGUUCAGAUUUUAAAGACUUUGAUAAUUUUAAUCAUUAGAAUAUGGUAUACUCGAGUGAAGGACAACUUGAUGAGGAUUCAAGCUACUAUGCUGUAUUGAUCACCUGGUAUGAUAGAGAAUAAAAAACGUUUAAUUAUUUGAAUAGUUGGGGUGGGAGUUCGGUAUAGAUGAUAUUGCGACAAUAGUAUUUGGUGCAGUUGUUCACAUAUAUGCACUAUUAUUUGAGUGGGUGUUGCCCUUAGUAAAUUUCUAUUUGGAUCCCAUCACCUGGAUCUCCAUAUCUCCCAAAUUGAAAUUAAGUACACCUCUCACUUAAAUAAUAGUGCAUAUACAUGAGCAACUGCACCAAAUACUAUCGUUGCAAUUUCAUUUUUGCCGAAGCUCCUACCCCAUCUAUUCAAAUAAUUAAACAUUUCUUUUUUUAUCGUACCCGG